UACGUAGGGAGCAAGCGUUGUCCGGAAUCAUUGGGCGUAAAGCGCGCGUAGGUGGCCCUGUAAGUCCGUUGUGAAAGUCAAAGGCUCAACCUUUGAAAGCCGAUGGAUACUGCGGAGCUAGAGUACGGAAGAGGCGAGUGGAAUUCCUGGUGUAGCGGUGGAAUGCGCAGAUAUCAGGAGGAACACCAAUAGCGAAGGCAGCUCGCUGGGACGUUACUGACACUGAGGCGCGAAAGCGUGGGGAGCGAACAGG
rnacentral:rRNA from 1 species